rnacentral:rRNA from 1 species
UGAGGAAUUUUGCACAAUGGGGGAAACCCUGAUGCAGCGACGCCGCGUGAGUGACGAAGGUCUUCGGAUCGUAAAGCUCUGUCAGUAGGGAAGAACUAUCAGGUGGCUAAUAUCCAUUUGGUUUGACGGUACCUACAAAGGAAGCACCGGCUAACUCCGUGCCAGCAGCCGCGGUAAUACGGAGGGUGCGAGCGUUGUUCGGAUUUACUGGGCGUAAAGGGCGCGUAGGCGGUCUUAUAAGCCAGAUGUGAAAGCCCACGGCUCAACCGUGGAAGUGCAUCUGGAACUGUGAGACUUGAGUACUGGAGGGGAGUGUGGAAUUCCCGGUGUAGAGGUGAAAUUCGUAGAUAUCGGGAGGAAUACCGGUGGCGAAGGCGACACUCUGGACAGAUACUGACGC